CAAUAGCAUCUUUGGGACAUUUGGUUUUUGUCAACCUAUAAUGAUCAAGUUCUUGCCACAAAUAUUUCAGUUGGUUGGCAUAUUCGGUAACUGUUUUACUUCCCUGUUUUACAGCAAUCAUCUUCACCUUGGCCUCAUAUACUUGAGCCACGUAUCUAGCUUUGGAGUGUGUCUGUUGAAUUGUUUCCCAAAUAUCCUUGGUAGUAGCGAAGAAUAUACAUGUAACUAAUCUCAGGAGUUAUAUAGUUCCACACCCACGUCAUAAUCAUGUAAUCCUCUUCAUCCCAAGCUUCAAAACGAGGAUCUCCUAGUUUCAGCCCCAUACCCAGGAGAUGGCUGAUCUUCCCUUUUUCUUUUAGCACCUUGCGAACAAGUUGA
rnacentral:lncRNA from 1 species